rnacentral:rRNA from 1 species
AUCAACUUUCGAUGGUAGGAUAGAGGCCUACCAUGGUGGUAACGGGUAACGGGGUGUUAGGGCACGACACCGGAGAGGGAGCCUGAGAAACGGCUACCACAUCCAAGGAUGGCAGCAGGCGCGCAAAUUACCCAAUCCCGACACGGGGAGGUAGUGACAAUAAAUAACAAUACGGGGUUCUUUCGGAUCUCGUAAUUGGAAUGAGUACAAUUUAAAUCUCUUAACGAGGAACAAUUGGAGGGCAAGUCUGGUGCCAGCAGCCGCGGUAAUUCCAGCUCCAAUAGCGUAUAUUAAAGUUGUUGCAGUUAAAAAGCUCGUAGUUGAAUUUCGGGGUUAGUAGGUUGGUCAUGCCUCUGGUAUGUACUGGUCUCACUGAUUCCUCCUUCCUGAUGAACCGUAAUGCCAUUAAUUUGGUGUUGCGGGGAAUUUGGACUGUUACUUUGAAAAAAUUAGAGUGUUUAAAGCAAGCUAACGCUUGAAUACAUUAGCAUGGAAUAAUGAAAUAGGACGUUCGAUCCUAUUUUGUUGGUUUCUAGGAUUGACGUAAUGAUUAAUAGGGAUAGUUGGGGGCAUUAGUAUUCAAUUGUCAGAGGUGAAAUUCUUGGAUUUAUUGAAGACUAACUACUGCGAAAGCAUUUGCCAAGGAUGUUUUCAUUAAUCAAGAACGAAAGUUAGGGGAUCGAAGACGAUCAGAUACCGUCGUAGUCUUAACCAUAAACUAUGCCGACUAGGGAUCGGAUGAUGUUAAUUUUUUAAUGACUCAUUCGGCACCUUACGGGAAACCAAAGUGUUUGGGUUC